GGAAAGCUACUAUUUUCCGCUUUUAAAAGGUAAAAAGAACUGGUUAACACAACAGGUAUAUAUAUAAUAAGCAUAUUUAAUAAAAAUUUAUAUAAGAAAUUAAAUAAUAAAGUUUUAAUUGAAAUGAUUAAAAUUCCCUGUAUCUUAUGUUCAAGUCUCCUUAUAAAUUUUAAUAUAAUGGAGGUAUUAAUACAAUAUAUUUAAUUAACACGAAAGUAAGGUAAUAAAUGCC
rnacentral:lncRNA from 1 species